GUGAUCAAUAUUUUCUCUCUCCACCACCCCCUUCACUUCUUCAAGACUAUAGGGAAUAUAUGUUGUACAUGUGUUAUUAUACAGUCUGUAUUUCCAUGUUUAUCAUGUAAAAGAAGACAUCACUAUAGAAAAACAUAUGGAGGAAAUAAAGUGAAGAAUGAGGUUCAUCAUUUUCAAUAUGAAUAUUAUCCUGCUCGUGGAAUAUGGCUAUCACUCUGCAACAGAAAAGUUGCUGAAAAUAUGAAAUUGUGGAUCUUCCAUCUGCACAUGGAGUCUGUGGAAUUCACAAGUGACAGCCUUAAAAAUGGAAAUGAAACUAUGGCCAAAGCAGGACACAGAAGAUAAAGUGGGAAAGGAGCUUCAUAUGCACUGAGACCAAGAGACUAAAUGAUAUUUCAUCAAAGCUUAUUAAAAAUUUUUAAAUGAUCAAAGGUGCUCUAAGAGAAAUGUAAAAUCAGAAUAUUUUUGAAAGAUGUAUCAGUCACCUAAAAAGAGCAAAAGUAAUUGAUCAACAGUCUACAAUAUGUCAAGAAAAAUAGAGGAAGGCCCCCUGAGCAUAUUGUUCUUAUCCCCUUUGUGAAUUUCCAGGAGGAUGUAAAUGGAAAUUAUAUUGUAUGAGCAGGCAUGAAUGAAUUGCAAUAUGCAUCACAAUAAGGAAUAAUCACAAAAGACCAUUGAUGACUGAAUUAGAGGAAAAGUAAUUGGAAUUGAAAAUAAUAAUACAUAUUAAUUAUAUCUGGAGAAAUAUUAUUUUAUUCAAUAGCUCAAGGUACGAAAAAAACAGUUUUAUUUGCUGUAAAAAAAAAAAAACAAACAAGCAAGGAAGAACCUGUUUGUAUUUUCUUGUAUGGAUAGUAGCAAGGAACAUUUCAUUACAGAUAUAUUCCAGUGGCCAUUUUACCUUAAUCCUAGUCAUCACCAAUUAUUAGCAUAAAAAUAGAUUAUUUUAUUCAAUUUACAGGUCAACACAGCAUUCUCUUAUCAAGAAGAGAUUUGGUUUUCAAAAAUUAUUCUUUUAUGUCUAUGUA
rnacentral:lncRNA from 1 species